rnacentral:rRNA from 1 species
CAGUCGAGCGAGAAAUUACUCAAUGAAUCUUCGGAAGAAUUGAAUAAUGGAAAGCGGCGGACGGGUGAGUAACGCGUGGGCAACCUGCCUUUCACAGAGGGAUAGCCAAAGGAAACUUUGAUUAAAACCUCAUAAAGCCGAAAUGUUGCAUAGCAAGACGGCCAAAGAUUUAUCGGUGAAAGAUGGGCCCGCGUCUGAUUAGUUAGUUGGUGGGGUAACGGCUCACCAAGGCGACGAUCAGUAGCCGACCUGAGAGGGUGAUCGGCCACAUUGGAACUGAGACACGGUCCAAACUCCUACGGGAGGCAGCAGUGGGGAAUAUUGCACAAUGGGCGCAAGCCUGAUGCAGCAACGCCGCGUGAACGAAGAAGGCCUUCGGGUCGUAAAGUUCUGUCCAUAGGGAAGAAACAAAUGACGGUACCUGUGGAGGAAGCCCCGGCUAAAUACGUGCCAGCAGCCGCGGUAAUACGUAUGGGGCAAGCGUUAUCCGGAAUUAUUGGGCGUAAAGAGUGCGUAGGUGGUGGCUUAAGCGCAGGGUUUAAGGCAAUGGCUUAACUAUUGUUCGCCUUGCGAACUGGGUCACUUGAGUACAGGAGAGGAAAGCGGAAUUCCUAGUGUAGCGGUGAAAUGCAUAGAUAUUAGGAGGAACACCGGUGGCGAAGG